rnacentral:lncRNA from 1 species
GAAAGAAAUAGAGGAAUUCACAGAUUUUUUUAAGACACUUGAUCAGAUGGUUGGAGGUUGAGUGCAGGAAACUGAGAGCCCGGAGGCUUUGUCUGCGGGUUCCCGAGGGCUGGGGGCUGGCGGGGGGCUGGAAGGGAACCGGCAGGAAGCAGAAAUCAAUUAGUGCUGGGGAGAACUUGAGCCGGGUCAGACGGAGGCGUUUGGAGGAGGCACGCAGCGAGCGGGGCUGCGCUGCGCUGCAAAUCAUCGGCGAGAGGCAGCACGUGGGCCAGGCUGGAAUUCAUCUCAUCCUGCUCCCAGCCCCGGGCUGAGCACCGUGCGGUGCUGGAGGGGCGUUUGGAGGCUCCGUUGCGGAUCCCCAAAGGUCCGGGUGAUGGGAGUAGUGUGGGGCUUUCUGCAGCAGGUGGGUGCGUUGCAUUGGGGUGGAAUCACAGUCAUGGAGUCGUUAAGGUGGAAAAAGAGCACGAAGGUCGUCCAGUCCAACCGCCAGCUCAUCCCCACCGUUUGCACACAUGGAGUCGCUCAGGUUGGAGAAGAGCAGUGAGGUCAUCCAGUCCAACCAUCAGCCGACCACGACCGCGGCCGCUCAGAGGCCCACGGAGUCAUUCAGGAGACACCUGAAGGGAAACCAGGGCUGACGGAUCCACGGGGCACACAGGCUUUGGAUUUGCAGCACCUAUUGUCAUCAUUCCAUAGAGUGCUGAAUGAAUAAAAUGAGGAAGAUGCUGGAGGGGCCCAGAGGGGAAGGGAGACCCUGGGGGGGGGGGGGGGGAAGGGGGGAGAGGGGUGACUGCUCCUUGGGAAAAUGCCCCCAGGACAUCACAUCACCUAUGGACUGAGAUUGGUGUCCAAGGGAGAGGGGAUGCGCUGCCGCACACGGAUCUACCCCAUGGAGCGGCGGUGCUGCCCAUCCCACUGACCUGCAGAGCUCCACGGGGUGGUGGGAAUGGCUCUUUUCAGCCUUCAUCCCAUCUUUCCCUCCCGGAGCCCAGAGCCGACACAACACGUCAGCCCCUCCAGACUCCUCACCCCAUGCCAUACCUGGGGGGCUCACUGCCUCCCCCCAUCUCAGAACCCCUUUCGCAGCAAACCCCAUCGCUCGGGACCCCCAGCCCCGAUUUAUCCCCCCAUAAAGCACCACUCAGCCCCGCCGCAGCCGGGAUGGAUUUGGCCAACUCAUUUAAAAUUCCUCUCCCUGCACACAAAACCAUUUUGUGCGAAGUUUAGCCUUGGGGAGAUUUAUUUCCUUGUUAGCUCAAGAUUUUCCUAUUAGCCCAUCUCAAAGAAACAUGGCCGCAUUUUCUCCAGCGCGCCAGCUGUUGUGCGAGAUGCAGGUACAUAUUACAGCCGUCAUUAAGCGGGCUGUCAUUCCGAGCUUUCUAAUUACCGUAUGAAUAGAGAGGAGCAUGAACACAACGCCUGAUUGUUCCGCUGCGGCUCACGCGGGGAAGCAAAAAUGGAAGAUCCCUGUAUAGGACUGCAGAGCCGGGAUGGAAACCUGAGCCGGGUCCGGCCGCCCGCAUCGUGCCGUGCUGUGAUUUUUGGGGAUGGUUUAGCAAAAAAAUAAAAGGAAAAGCCCCCGAUGUGUUCUCAGUCCUCCCCCCCCCCCCCCCUUCCUCCCAUCCGUUCCAAAUGCGUAAUGGAACAAAAGCGGCGCAACCGAAAAAAACGAGGAGGACAAACAUAUGGCAAAGGGGGUGCGGGGAAUGGCUCCGAGGAGCAGCAAUGUGCCACCGAGCUGCAUCCUGGCCGCGGCCAUUUCACCACUGGGUUUGAUCCCUUGCAGUCAGCUCCCUUCCUUUGUUGCAGGAAGUCGGCGCCGA